rnacentral:rRNA from 1 species
GACGAACGCUGGCGGCGUGCCUAAUACAUGCAAGUCGAGCGGACUUACAAGAGCUUGCUUUUGUAAGUUAGCGGCGGACGGGUGAGCAACACGUGGGCAACCUGCCCUUGAGACUGGGAUAACUUCGGGAAACCGGAGCUAAUACCGGAUAAUAUAAAGAACCUCCUGGUUCUUUAUUGAAAGAUGGUUUCGGCUAUCACUUAAGGAUGGGCCCGCGGCGCAUUAGCUAGUUGGUGAGGUAACGGCUCACCAAGGCGGCGAUGCGUAGCCGACCUGAGAGGGUGAUCGGCCACACUGGGACUGAGACACGGCCCAGACUCCUACGGGAGGCAGCAGUAGGGAAUCUUCCACAAUGGACGAAAGUCUGAUGGAGCAACGCCGCGUGAGUGAUGAAGGCCUUCGGGUCGUAAAGCUCUGUUGUUAGGGAAGAACAAGUGCGAGAGUAACUGCUCGCACCUUGACGGUACCUAACCAGAAAGCCACGGCUAACUACGUGCCAGCAGCCGCAGUAAAAC